UGCCUUUCACCAAUUCUUUUCACAAAACAUACAAAUACAACUCUCAAAAAUGUUAGAGACCUAUGCAGAACAAUGAGUUCGGUUUUCUCGUGUGUAUGGUGUUAACGAUCUGUGCCAGAGAGUUUCUGAUAGAUGGACCCAAAGGGUUGGACCAUUCGAUCAGACCAUCAGCUAUACACUGACUCGGUUCAUGGUCAUGGAUAAUGCUGUGUUCGUCUACCAUCCAAGCCAAGAUUAGGUGCUUCAAGAGACGCUUAUGAUAGCUGCACCACAGAUGCAUCCAACACUAAAUUUACAGAUGGACACACAUCCCUCAUCCUCCCGGAAACACAGUUUCGCCUUGUUUCCUCUGUUUUGUCUUCUGCUCUCAUUGUUACUCUGUUUCUUUAUCUUUUCAGCUCAGUUGGUAAAUUGGCGUAUGUGUGUGUUGUUGUUGUUUAUUUCU